rfam:Thioalkalivibrio nitratireducens DSM 14787, complete genome.
GGGGACGACAUGGCUUCGACGUGGGUCACGAAACCUGAGGUGCAUGCCGAGGCUGUAGCUGACCUCGUAAAAACGGCUGCAAACCAAUAGUUGCCAACGACGACAACUACGCACUCGCCGCUUAAAACCCGGUAGGGUGCCGUCCGACUGGAGCCGCGCCUGCGCGUCCAGACCCGGGCGUCGAUCUCGCAGGAUCGUGGAGAAGCUUCCCGGGGCGGAUCCACUAAAACUCAACCGGGAUCGCUGGUGGUCUUCCCUGCCCGUCGGGUAGCCACCAGUUAAAACAAAGACGCGGAUAAGCAUGUAGAGCCGAGGGCGGAGGUCUUGCGGACGCGGGUUCGAUUCCCGCCGUCUCCACCA